GAUGAACGCUGGCGGCGUGCCUAAUACAUGCAAGUCGAGCGAACGGACGAGAAGCUUGCUUCUCUGAUGUUAGCGGCGGAGGGGUGAGUAACACGUGGAUAACCUACCUAUAAGACUGGGAUAACUUCGGGAAACCGGAGCUAAUACCGGAUAAUAUUUUGAACCGCAUGGUUCAAAAGUGAAAGACGGUCUUGCUGUCAUUUAUAGAUGGAUCCGCGCUGCAUUAGCUAGUUGGUAAGGUAACGGCUUACCAAGGCAACAAUGACUAGCCGACCUGAGAGGGUGAUCGCCCACACUGGAACUGAGACACAGUCCAGACUCCUACGGGACGCACCAGUGUCGCAUCUUCCACAAUGGUCAAAAGCCUUACGCACCAACGCCUCGUGAGUGAUGAAGGUCUUCUGAUCGUAAAACUCUGUUAUUAGGGAAUAACCUAUCUGUAAGUAACUGUUCACAUCUUAACGGUACCUAAUCAGAAAGCCACGGCUAACUACGUG
rnacentral:rRNA from 1 species